UUUCAGGUCCAUGCCAGAACAAUUGCACAGUGCACCAUGAUGCUUGCCACUGUAUCCACAGGGAAAUGGGACAAGUACCCAAGGACAGGAGAUGGUGAGGACACCUGAGAAGACCCUAUGUGACCUGUCCCCUCCCACCCCCAUCAAACAGCAUGCUCCUGCUCCAGUUUCACAGUUCGCAUCCAAAUUUAACAGUUCAGAGAAGAGUUGAGUUUCUGCAGCUGCUGGAGCACACUGGAAUAUCACAUUAAAACAGCUUCCCAGGAGUGAGCAGAUUUCAUUUUUAGGUAAUCUCUACAAACAACAUGGGGCUCGAACUCACAACCCCAAGAUCAACAGUCGCAUGCUCCACCAACUAAGCCAGUCAAGUGCCUGCUAGAUACAGUAUGUUAUGUUUGUUCGAUCCUCUUCUACCUAACCUUAAAUGGGUCAAAUCUUCCAGAGCUCCCUUUUACCUAAUGAAUAAAAGCCAAACUGCUUAGACUGACAUAAAAUUCACCUCACCCUAGCCAGUCUUUCUCCUUUUAUUUUUAUUCCUUUUGCUUUGAAAGUUAUUAUGAGAAAAAUAGCAGUUAAUCACAUUAACUGCAUUAUAUUUAGCAAAAUACUAUGCAUAUUUUGCUAUUCUCUUGCUUAUUGUUUCCGUAAGUCAUGCCUCUGCUGAAGGCCAGAUAGAGAGUAUGACUAAGCCCAUAGAAGAGCCAGGCUGGGAAAGGAUGGCUAACGUCCUGCAAAAACCCAUGGUCAGAAAUUGACCCAAUAGGUUGAUGACCAAGACAGCUGAGAGAUCUGAAAUGGUUCAGGGCCAGGAUAUGAUGGUAGUGCUGGGAGGUAGGGGAAUGUCACAAGAAGUCAGUAGCUAAGCCAGAACUGAGAAAUGAGUAUGGGUCCCAGAAGUAAAACCUUAGGGAAUUAAAUAUAAAGGUAUGAAA